ACUCAAAUGAAUUGACGGGGACUUGCACAAGCGGUGGAUCAUGCGGCUCAAUUCGAUGGCAAACGAAGAACCUCACCAGGGUUUGAAACGGAGACGACCGGCUAGGAAACUAGCCUUUCGCAAGACGGCUCCGCAGGUGAUGCAUGGUCGUCGUCAGUUCGUGGCUUGAGUUGUUCCCUUCAGUGGGGUAACGAACGCAACCCGCGUUGCCUGUUUUACAUGUCAGGCGAGACUGCCCUCUCACGAGGGAGGAAGGUGCGGAUGACGCCAGAUCAGCAUGUCCCUCUGAUAUCCUGGGCUGCACGCAUGAUACAAUGGACGCGACAACGAGACGCAAUGGGGUAACCCGGAGCAAAUCUUUUAAACGCGUCCCCAGUUCGGAUUGAGGUCUGCAACUCGACCUCAUGAAGCCGGAAUCGCUAGUAAUCGCGGGUCAGCUAUACCGCGGUGAAUACGUUCUCAAGUCUUGUACACACCGCCCGU
rnacentral:rRNA from 1 species